CCUACGGGAGGCAGCAGUGAGGAAUAUUGGUCAAUGGACGAGAGUCUGAACCAGCCACGUAGCGUGAAGGAUGAAUGCCCUAUGGGUUGUAAACUUCUUUUAUAUGGGAAUAAAACGUUCCACGUGUGGGAUUUUGUAUGUACCAUAUGAAUAAGGAUCGGCUAACUCCGUGCCAGCAGCCGCGGUAAUACGGAGGAUCCGAGCGUUAUUCGGAUUUAUUGGGUUUAAAGGGAGCGUAGGUGGGUUGUUAAGUCAGUUGUGAAAGUUAGCGGCUCAACCGUAGAAUUGCAGUUGAAACUGGCAGUCUUGAGUACAGUAGAGGUGGGCGGAAUUCGUGGUGUAGCGGUGAAAUGCUUAGAUAUCACGAAGAACUCCGAGUGCGAAGGCAGUUCACUGGACUGCAACUGACACUGAGGCUCGAAAGUGUGGGUAUCAAACAGGAUUAGAUACCCCAGUAGUC
rnacentral:rRNA from 1 species